rnacentral:rRNA from 1 species
GUAAGGAAUAUUGGACAAUGGAGGCAACUCUGAUCCAGCCAUCCCGCGUGUAGGAAGAAGGCCCUAUGGGUUGUAAACUACUUUUGUCAGGGAAUAAACCUCUCGAUUCACUCGGGAGCUGAAGGUACCUGAAGAAUAAGCACCGGCUAACUCCGUGCCAGCAGCCGCGGUAAUACGGAGGGUGCAAGCGUUAUCCGGAAUCACUGGGUUUAAAGGGUGCGUAGGUGGCAUCGUAAGUCAGAAGUGAAAGUUUGCGGCUUAACCGUAAAAUUGCUUUUGAUACUGCAAUGCUUGAAUCAGGUUGAGGUUGGCGGAAUGUGGCAUGUAGCGGUGAAAUGCUUAGAUAUGCCAUAGAACACCGAUUGCGAAGGCAGCUGACUGGACCUGUAUUGACGCUGAGGCACGAAAGCGUGGGGAGCGAACAGGAUUAGAAACCCUGGUAGUCC